rnacentral:tRNA from 1 species
GGAGAUUUGGCUCAGUGGUAGAGCGCUUGCCUAGGAAGCGCAAGGCCCUGGGUUCAGUCCCCAGCUCCG